UUAAAUUUGAAAAUAUGUCCGUUAAUCUCGGUCGGAGCAGCUGCUUUGCGUUGAUUACUCGGUCAGACCUGGAUUAUUUUAUAUCUGCCUGUUGAACUCUUACAUUUUGAGCGAAUUUUAGUUGAUAUGACAAUGAAGAUCAAAAGCUGGAAUGUGAACAGAGGAAGGGGUCGUACGUGGUCUGUAAAUACUGGCGAUAUCAGAUCAAGCUUUGUAAUAAGAUUUUUAUCGGGGGAGAACACCCAACAGAAAGACCCAUGAUUCACCAACUGGCGCACUGAAAGGGGGAGAU